rnacentral:lncRNA from 1 species
GCUCAAGUGUUCCAUACAUAGUCAAACAUCCCAAUUAACUUUCUUCCGCUCAAGCAAUCACACGGGUCUUUUUAUGUUCAUAGAAGAGUGGUUCUGACUGGUGAGAUAGAGGUUGUAAGUUCAUCAUGGCGUCAAGAUGUUAGGUUUAGACUCUCAUGAAAGACCUUGCAAAACUGCAAGUUGAGAAUAACCAACUUCCAACACUGAAGGUUAAUAGAUGAUAUUGCAAUCUGCUUUUUCUAGCAUUAUUAUUUUGUAAGAUGUUAUUGCAUUCAUGUUGGUACCCAAUCAAAACGCCGUUUGUGUGUAGAAAGUGUGUAAUUUGCCCCCUUUUUACUCUACCAAUUAUAAGUUUAUAGAACUACUAGGCUUAGCGCGCCGCAAUGCGCGCGGGGUUAAAUCCUAGUUAU